rnacentral:rRNA from 1 species
UACAGAGGGGGCAAGCGUUGUUCGGAAUUACUGGGCGUAAAGGGCGCGUAGGCGGCCUUCUAAGUCGAACGUGAAAUCCCCGGGCUCAACCCGGGAACUGCGUCCGAUACUGGAAGGCUUGAAUCCGGGAGAGGGAUGCGGAAUUCCAGGUGUAGCGGUGAAAUGCGUAGAUAUCUGGAAGGAACACCGGUGGCGAAGGCGGCAUCCUGGACCGGUAUGACGCUGAGGCGCGAAAGCCAGGGGAGCAAAGCGGG